CUACAUCCUCUCUUGAAUUUUCCAGGCGUUAUUACAGACGUGCAGGUGUCCUGUAGAGCAUUUUAUAGAGAUUAAAUAUAGUCAGUGUCAGAAGUUUUAAGUGUAUCUUAUUGCUCAUAGCUCAUUAGCUAACUUCUGACAGUCAGACAGGAGGUACAGUGUGCUACAUGCUAGCAUAAGUUUGACGUUGCUGUAAAAAGCCUCGUGCAGGCAGCCACAUGGGAAGUUGGCGAAAGAUGGAGGAGUUGAAAGACAAAAAUGGACCAAGCAUGGCAGCCCUUUCAGAGGGCCAAACAAAGUGUCUCAUGGGAUGUCCACAUGUCCCUGAGAGACUUCUUCAGAUGUCUCCCACUGCAAAUCAAGGAUGAUCAGGACCAACUGUCUGUGCCCUGCAGCACAUUGUAGGCUCCCAACUGAACCAUCCAGCUGAAGAUGCACUUCCUGCAGGUCAGACUGGUUCCUUUUUCCUCAAACUGAGUCAUCUCUCUGGAUCCAGCUGCAGUUUGACAUGAUCCAUGUGCCCUGCAGCACACUGUAGGCUCUGAACUGAACGUCCAGCUGAAGAUGCACGUCCUGCAGGUCAGACUGAUUCCUUCAUUUUCCUCAAACUGAAUAGUCUCUAAGGAUCCAGCUGCAGCUUCAGCCUGUGACAUGAGCCAUACAUCUUCAGAAGUCUCUCACUGAAGAUCAAGGAUGAAUCAGGACCAACUUGCUAAGUGAAGGAGUGAUGGGUCAGACUGGUUCCUUUUUCCUCAAACAAAGUCAUCCCUCUGGACCCAGCUGCAGCUUCAACUUCUGACAUGAUCCAUGUGUGAUUUUGCCAGUUGGAUCCUGUCCCAUGAAGUGUGCUGUCUGAAAGGUUUGAAUCAGCUGGUUGCAGUGACUCUGCAUCCUGCAGUGUGGCUCGUCACUGGAGAAGGAUCCUUCUGCACCCUGCAGAUCGCAAGAAUGGACAUGCACACAAGUCUGAGGACGGAUAGAAGCAGACUGAUUCAUGUGUUGUACGGUUUCAAUAAAGUGUUGAUCCAACCUGA